rnacentral:rRNA from 1 species
ACCGAGAAUACCCACCGGGAAUCUGAGGAUAGAUUCGGGAUAAGAGCAUAGACGUCUCGAACACCACGAUAGUUCAAAGCUCCGGCGCCUAAGGAUGGAUAUGCGAUCCAUCAAGUUGUAGUGAGGUGUAACGUACAUACUAUCCGACGACGGAUAUGGGUUGUGAGAGCAAGAGCCCGGAGAUGGAUUGUGAGACACGAAUCCAGGCCAUAGGUGGUGCAGCAGGUGGUAACACUUUUCAAUCCGACAAACCGCGAUAAGAGAACCCCAAAUGCCAGCAUCAAAUGUUAGCCGUCCAGAUGAAUAAUAAUCUUUUGUUAGCAAGGGCCGGGCAAGACCGGUGCCAGCCGUCGCGGUAACACCAGCGAACCGAGUGGCAUCUUCUUUUAUUGGGUCUAAAGGCUCUGUAUCCGUCUUAAUAUCUCCUUUGGGAAAUCUCCCAGCUGAACUAUCAGGCUUUUAAUUGAUACAGUCAGCCUUGGGACCGGAACAACUAAGAGUUACCACAGUGGUAGGAGUGAAAUCUCAUAAUCCCUAAUCCUCCUUCCGCGGCGAAGGCGCCUUCCCAAAACUCAAUCACCGGUGAGUAACUAAAGCUAGGGGAGCAAACCGGAUUAAAUAUCUAAGCAUUUCAACCCGUCACCAAUAAUUCCUCGGUGUCAGACCCGGUUCUAGUUUGUCUGUAUCGGCAGCAAUCCCUGGUUCGGCCCCCGGAUUUCGCCCCGACCUAUUUAUCCGCCUACGCG